rnacentral:rRNA from 1 species
UCGAGGGGCAUCAGUUUGGUUUGCUUGCAAACCAAAGCUGGCGACCGGCGCACGGGUGAGUAACACGUAUCCAACCUGCCUCAUACUCGGGGAUAGCCUUUCGAAAGAAAGAUUAAUAUCCGAUAGCAUAUAUUUCCCGCAUGGGUUUUAUAUUAAAGAAAUUCGGUAUGAGAUGGGGAUGCGUUCCAUUAGUUUGUUGGCGGGGUAACGGCCCACCAAGACUACGAUGGAUAGGGGUUCUGAGAGGAAGGUCCCCCACAUUGGAACUGAGACACGGUCCAAACUCCUACGGGAGGCAGCAGUGAGGAAUAUUGGUCAAUGGACGCGAGUCUGAACCAGCCAAGUAGCGUGAAGGAUGACUGCCCUAUGGGUUGUAAACUUCUUUUAUAUGGGAAUAAAGUGGUCCACGUGUGGAUUUUUGUAUGUACCAUAUGAAUAAGGAUCGGCUAGCUCCGUGCCAGCAGCCGCGGUAAUACGGAGGAUCCGAGCGUUAUCCGGAUUUAUUGGGUUUAAAGGGAGCGUAGGCGGAUUGUUAAGUCAGUUGUGAAAGUUUGCGGCUCAACCGUAAAAUUGCAGUUGAUACUGGCAGUCUUGAGUGCAGUAGAGGUGGGCGGAAUUCGUGGUGUAGCGGUGAAAUGCUUAGAUAUCACGAAGAACUCCGAUUGCGAAGGCAGCUC